AUGAACGCUGGCGGCGUGCCUAAUCCCUGCCAGUCGAGCGAACAGACGAGGAGCUUGCUCCUCUGACGUUAGCGGCGGACGGGUGAGUAACACGUGGAUAACCUACCUAUAAGACUGGGAUAACUUCGGGAAACCGGAGCUAAUACCGGAUAAUAUAUUGAACCGCAUGGUUCAAUAGUGAAAGACGGUUUUGCUGUCACUUAUAGAUGGAUCCGCGCCGCAUUAGCUAGUUGGUAAGGUAACGGCUUACCAAGGCAACGAUGCGUAGCCGACCUGAGAGGGUGAUCGGCCACACUGGAACUGAGACACGGUCCAGACUCCUACGGGAGGCAGCAGUAGGGAAUCUUCCGCAAUGGGCGAAAGCCUGACGGAGCAACGCCGCGUGAAUGAUGAAGGUCUUCGGAUCGUAAAACUCUGUUAUUAGGGAAGAACAAAUGUGUAAGUAACUAUGCACGUCUUGACGGUACCUAAUCAGAAAGCCACGGCUAACUACGUG
rnacentral:rRNA from 1 species